rnacentral:pre_miRNA from 1 species
UUGAACAUGCUGAAUUCUAAUUCAACUUUAGCACCUUUCUUUUAUCACGCUACAGAAAGUGCUAUUAAGUUGGAGUAUGAUUCU